ACGCUCGACACCUACGGGAGGCGGCAGUGGGGAAUAUUGCACAAUGGGGGAAACCCUGAUGCAGCGACGCCGCGUGAGCGAAGAAGUAUUUCGGUAUGUAAAGCUCUAUCAGCAGGGAAGAAGAAAGACGGUACCUGACUAAGAAGCCCCGGCUAACUACGUGCCGGCAGCCGCGGUAAUCUGAGCGGGCUGGCAAGGC
rnacentral:rRNA from 1 species